CCCUCGGCACCCUGCGGGGGGGGGGGUGGCGGCUGCGGCGUCCCGGUCACGGGUGGGGAGCCCGAGGCUGCGGCAGGCGUCGAGGCCGGAUCUCCUGACGCCACGGCCCCCGGGGGACCCCGGGGGGCGCCCUCGGUGGGGGCGCCUCGCGAGCCUCAGGCCCUGGUGUUCUGGGGUCACGCCGUCCCCCGUGGCGUGAAGCCCCUCGUCCUCUUCCUGGAGCCGGGCAGGCCGGGGGCGGCCCGAGGGACUCCGCCGGCUGGAAAUCGGGUUCCACCUGGAAGGUGGAAGAGGACGCGCUGCGCCCCCGCCGCCCGCCCCAGGCCGCGGCUCCCGGAGGCAGGCGAGGGCAGUGGGCAGCGCCGGGGCGGGGCCGUGGCCGUGGCCGUGGUCAGCCUGGGCUUCCCGCGGGGCGCAUCUCCGAAGGUGGCGCCGUCCGGGAUCUGGGCCUGCCCCUCUGCCCUUCCUUUGCCAUGGCCAGUGCCUCAGGGAGGCCCGCCAGGACACCCCCUGCCCGCAAGGGCUCUGCUCCGUGCGCUUCCGUUAGUUUUCCCUGAAACUCGGCCGAUUCGGGUUUGCAGUUUUCCUUCCUUGGGACACGGCUGGGCGCCCGGGAAACCCGGCUCCCCUUGGAAGGGGGCCGCGGGGCUCGCGCCGCUGCACCCGCGUGGAGAGCCGGGUGCUCUCUGCGUUUCGAAUAAUCUGAGGAUUUCUGCUUCCUCAGAGCCCCCUCCCUUCUUCAGUCUUUUUGCACUUCUUUAUGGCCGUGAGCAGCCCCUGAGGGUCCGGGUGCAGGUGGGGCCGCCUCCUCCAGGCUGCAAGCUCUGGGUCUGCUUUGCGCCCCCCAGCAGCGCCCACACCUGCCUGGUGACACCCUGGUGCCAGCGGACGCUCCGACGGUGGCACACUGCACCCGCAGUUACGCAAAGACAGGACUUAAACACAAACCCUGCAGGUGGAGUUAAUUUAAAAACGUGCAAGUGUCGCAAAAAUGCAGGUAGCCCCAGGCGCUUCCCCCUGUGGUGUGAUGUUUUUCUCUGA
rnacentral:lncRNA from 1 species